CCUUCACAGACAAUGUACUUACUAGUUACACAAAUGUAAGAAAAUACUCUUUAGCCUAGAUAUCCACUGUUGACACAUGCAAAGAGCAUUUGUGGAACAUUUUCACAUUGAAGGAAAACUACUGCCAUGAAAAAAGAUCAAUUUACUGCCCAUGUGACAUUGUAAUCUUUAAAAAGAAACCCCUAGCCUGAUGACGUCUGCUAUGCAUGUCACAUAUAUACAGACCAUUCAUGGACCAGAGGCUGCGACACUGUGCCUGUACUACAACCAGGGAAACAGGGAACGAAGCAUAAAGGUUCUGCUAUGCUCAGUGACACAGUCUGUCCAGAUGGAAAGGCGACCUGAACAGGAAAAUGAAUGACAGCAAAAUUCAUCAUGAAGAGAGAGAAAGUAAGAUAAUCUCAAGAUGAAUGAGCACUUUACUCACUUUGGCAAGAACUGCUUAAAGCUAGUAAGAUAAUAAAGUUCUAAAAUAACACAAAUGAGAAGCAGAGACAUGGCAGCAGGGGCGUUUUUACACUUUAUUUUCCACCUUACAAAACAGAAGUUGUUUAUCUUUUAUGAUUCUUGUUUUCUCAAGACAAAAUGCAGGAGCGAAGGAAAAAGACCCAACAACAACAACACAAACCAACAUUAGACCACAUUCCUUGGUGCACCACAUAUUACUAACGGCAGUAAUAACUAAGAACUUUUGCCAGGGUUGUCAAACCUCUAAAAAACCUUGUGUACUGCAGCCACUCUGCAUGCUUUUGGCCCCCUUCCUUUCUUAUCAUGAUAAAUUCUGCUGCAGUUGUUUCCUUUGUUGACUGCCACAGUCUGGAGUGUGAGACCAGGAAAUUCAUUUUAGGUGUGUAGCUGUGAACUUUUCCAUAUAACAAAAACAAGUUUCCCACCAACUUCGGGCGCCACUGUCUCAGAUCAUAUCAGGGGCUAGAAA